UUUUAUAUACAAAUAUAUAGAUAUACAUUUUCUUUUCUUCUCUAAGAGAUUUUAUAUUUUUUUUUAAAUGAUAGUAGGUCAAACGGGAAAUUGUGGAGAGUCAAGUCACGAAUGUAACGAUACGUUCCAAAAUGAUCAGUGUGAAAAAUAUUGUAAGCCUAAUUUCACACAUGGUACUUGCCUUCUGAGGUCUUUCGUAGGACCUAAUCCUCCUUCGUAUUAUUGUUGUUGUUAUUCAUAGAUUCAAUAUGUAAUUCUUACUACAAGAUAAUAAAGAGUUUAUUAAAUUCUAAUUAUUUAUUAUCAUUUGAUCGUACUGCACUGUCUGAUAUAAAAAUUACACUAAUUAGUUUUUUUUUUUUUUACUAAACAUGUUACAGAAAAGUUCAAAUACUAGUUUGUUGUCAAUAGAAAGCUCUUUUGUAAGAGACAGUAUAAUAAAAUUAAUUCAAUCUUGAUAAUUAAAAAUAUGGUUAUGUUGUUUAUGUGUCUAUUCAAUCCGUAGUGCUAUAUAUUAUCACUA
rnacentral:lncRNA from 1 species